AUACGGAGGGUGCUAGCGUUAUUCGGAUUUACUGGGCGUAAAGGGCGCGUAGGCGGCUUGAUAAGUCAGAUGUGAAAGCCCGGGGCUUAACCCCGGAAGUGCAUUUGAAACUAUUAGGCUUGAGUAUGGGAGAGGGAAGUGGAAUUCCUGGUGUAGCGGUGAAAUGCGUAGAUAUCAGGAGGAACACCGGUGGCGAAGGCGACUUCCUGGACCAAUACUGACGCUGAGGCGCGAAGGCGUGGGGAGCAAACAGAAUUAGAUACCCCAGUAGUCC
rnacentral:rRNA from 1 species